CGGGGAAGCUAGGAGCACUGCAGGAGAAUCUCGUGUUGAAAUAGAGACAAUCCCAAAACAAGCAUGCUUUUCUACACAAAACACAUUAACAUGAAGCUCUGUCUCACCUGGUGUCCACAAAUGAAGAGGAUCCUGGUUCCUGCCUUUAGGAAUUUGCAAUCAUUUUCCUGGAUUUGACAGCUCAGAAGAUGCCCUCUGAAAUAUGAUUCCAGAUUGUAGAUGACUCUCCUCUGUGAAAAGAUCAUCAUAAGAGAAGAUGGAAUUACCACCCCAUGAAUCAAUUUGAAGAAACACUGCUAUGUUUUAAUAUUUAUGUUUUUCAUGGCAAAUUUCAUGCUAAGUGUGAUUCAUUCUCAGAGAUCAAAUGAUCAGAUAGCCAGUGACAUUAUCUAAUGUCCAUCUCUUUGUAAUUAAAAGUCAACAGAGUCUGAAACUGAUGAGUUAGUGAUGAAAUGGAGCGGAACAUAUGGAAGUACUGGACUGUAUAGCCAUGGACUCUAAUGCUACUGAAGAAGCAAAGCUGUCCAAUUAUUGUCUCACAUACAAAUGUACAAGAUUAGAAAAGUUCUAACACCGACACUACAAAGAGAAUGCGCAGAUGAUCACAGUGAAGAGUAUCAUUUACUCUAAAGCAUUACAUUUGUAGAGUAAGAUUAAGAGAAAAUAUGGGAAAAUUUGAUGUUUUGGUCAGCAAGAGUGCUGAAUUCAAAAACUCAUGUUUGUCUUGAGCAAAUAUUUAUCAUUUGAUAAAUGAGAAUAGAAUGUAGGUUUAAUAAAUUACUAGAGAAACUUUCUAAAUAAUUUCAUGGUGGUCAACACUCACAUUUAUUAUAUCAACUCAGAAGAUGAAAAACAUAUUUUAGGGAUUACAAUAAAUAUGACUAGGCUCAGCUAAAGUUAAAAUGUAAAUGUUUACAAGUUGCAUUAAACAUUAAUAUUUACUGAUAGAGGUUUGCAGUUUCUAUGAAGCAAACUUACAAUAACUACAAAUCCAAACUAAUUGAUGCCACACUCUAUGGCUGAAAAAGAAAGACUGAGAGUUUGGUGGGGAUUUAAGCUACAGAGGUAUCAGGAGAGGGUUUCCAGCAGCAGCAGAGUGGCCUCCACACCCUCCAGGUAAAGGCACAGCACAAGGACACUGAACAUGAGAACAAUCAGGUAGGUCAGGGGUCAUAUGUAUUAGUUAUCUUUGGCAACAGUCAAACCAAACUCAUAAUGUGACACUACAGUUUUGUCGUUCUAAUAUGCUAUAUUCCUAGUAGACUCAUAUGUUCAAAUAUUUUGUCACCAGUAGACAUUUUUUGUUUGUUUGUUUUUUUUAAGUAAAUUUAUUUUACAACAUCAUUUAGUUCAA